AACCUUACCUACCCUUGACAUGUCUGGAAUGCAGAAGAGAUUUGGCAGUGCUCGCAUGAGAACCGGAACACAGGUGGUGCAUGUCUGUUGUCAGCUCGUGUCGUGAGAUGUUGGGUUAAGUCCCGCAACGAGCGCAACCCUAGUCAUUAGCUGGUACGAAAGGGCACUCUAAUGAGACUGCCGGUGACAAACCGGAGGAAGGUGGGGAUGACGUCAAGUCCUCAUGGCCCUUAUGGGCAGGGCUUCACACGUCAUACAAUGGUCGGGACAAAGGGUCGCCAAGCCGCGAGGGGGAGCCAAUCCCAUAAACCCGUUCGUAGUCCGGAUCGCAGUCUGCAACUCGACUGCGUGAAGUCGGAAUCGCUAGUAAUCGCGGAUUCAGCAU
rnacentral:rRNA from 1 species